UACGUAGGGGGCAAGCGUUGUCCGGAUUUAUUGGGCGUAAAGAGCGUGUAGGCGGUUCGGUAGGUCCGUUGUGAAAACUCGAGGCUCAACCUCGAGACGCCGGUGGAAACCAUCAGACUAGAGUCCGGAAGAGGAGAGUGGAAUUCCUGGUGUAGCGGUGAAAUGCGCAGAUAUCAGGAGGAACACCGGUGGCGAAGGCGGGUCUCUGGGCCGUUACUGACGCUGAGGAGCGAAAGCGUGGGGAGCGAACAGG
rnacentral:rRNA from 1 species